ensembl:snRNA U6 U6 spliceosomal RNA
GUGCUAGCUUUGGCAGCACGCAUGAAAAAAUUGGAAUGACAAAGAUUACCAUGGGCCCUGCGCAAAGGUGACACUCAAAUUCAUGAUCUCAUAUUUAUCUAU